rnacentral:rRNA from 1 species
CCCUUAGAUGUUCUGGGCCGCACGCGCGCUACACUGUUCGACGCAGCGAGUCUUAACCUUGACCGAAAGGUUUGGGUAAUCUUCAGCAAAGUCGAACGUGAUGGGGAUCGAUCAUUGCAAUUAUUGAUCGUGAACGAGGAAUUCCUAGUAAGUGCAAGUCAUCAGCUUGCGCUGAUUAUGUCCCUGCCCUUUGUACACACCGCCCGUCGCUACUACCGAUUGAAUGGUUUAGUGAGAUCUCUGGAUUGACGCUGGCUAGGGGGCGACCCUUGGCCAGGCUGUCGAGAAACUGCUCAAACUUGAUCAUUUAGAGGAAGUAAAAGUCGUAACA